GCUGGGAGCUGUAGACCGGAGCUGUUCCUAUUCGGCCAUCUUGAAUUGUAGGCAUUUUUAAAAACAGACUCUGGAGAUGAAUCUUUUCUAGUUAUAUACUUUGUAUUACAUUUAUGCACUGUCUGCUGCCAAAGAUCUGAAACCAAUGAUCUCAUAUAUAUGGUACAGUUUUCUAGUUAUUUACAGUGGGAGAGUAAAUUAUCCAUGCUCAGAAGUAGUGUGUACUAGUCUCAGUAAGUCAAUGGGUUUCCCUGGAUCCAGGCUUGGAGAAAAUGUUUUCUCUUCUCUAUCUGCAAUUCUCCUGAACCAAUUCUGACGGAUAAUAUGACUGUGUCAACCACAAAAGAGGAAAAGAAUGGGCUUUAAAUCCCGCCUUUACAGCCAUCCAAGGCAGGAUUCCUCCUUCUGCACCUUUUUGGCACUGUUUCCUUGAGCUCUCCAUCCUAUCCAUCGAAAGUUACCCAUCCCAAAUCCUAUAUCCUCAGCAACUUUCUGGACAACUGGCUGAUCUGAAGAACCAGUUCAUACUCGUCUAUCUUGUUAUUGUGUUGACUACUCCUUCUUCAAAGGAUGGAACUUUAAGGAUGGAACCAAUUGGCUACAAAUCAUUUUAGCUGAUGCACUGAGACAAUUCUGAAGCAAACUGUCUUAUCCUGGAUUUUGUCAGUAACUGGAGUUGAAGGACUUGAAGAUUCUCAAGGAUUGAUCCAGAAUAUGUUCCAGCAAAAACUACAGCAGAGUAACUUUGACAAGAAAAAUGUUCACUUGCUACCUAAGGAGAGUCUCUGUCUCCUGACCUCUGAAUUUCGAAAUCCUCAGCUCUGGCUGCCACGCAGUGGGAACCGAAUGAGUAUGUACUGAAUGGCGAAUCCUAGUUCAGUCACUUGACUAGCUGGGUGACCUUGAGCAAGUAACUUAGCUUCUUGAAGCCUCAGUCUCCUUAUCUAUAAAAUGGGACUCAAAGGCUGAGUCGAGUAUUAAAUGAAAUAAUACACGUAAAGCACAGUGCCAAAAAUCUGGUAAUAACUCCAUCAGUAUAAGGCCACCUUAUUUGCCUUCUUUCACAAUUAUCACCAGAAUUGAAUUAAAAUUCAGAUGUGAUCAUGUCUUGAAAUGUAGAAAGAGUUAUGAAAAUGUAAGACUUACUAAGUUCACUUAUCGAACAUUUUUUGACCACCUACUAUGUGCUAUGCCUUGGACUAGGCUAGAGAUACAACAGUAAACAUCUUGACUAACGGAGAUUAUGCUGCUAUCUUGAAAUUUUGCCUGUUCCCAAAAGCCCCCAGCAUAUUAAUUUUGUUAAAUAUAUAUUCCCUUAUUAUAUAUAUAAAACAUAUAUAUCCU
rnacentral:lncRNA from 1 species